UUGCUCUCGGGUGACGAGUGGCGGACGGGUGAGUAAUGUCUGGGAAACUGCCUGAUGGAGGGGGAUAACUACUGGAAACGGUGGCUAAUACCGCAUAACGUCGCAAGACCAAAGAGGGGGACCUUCGGGCCUCUUGCCAUCAGAUGUGCCCAGAUGGGAUUAGCUUGUUGGUGAGGUAACGGCUCACCAAGGCGACGAUCCCUAGCUGGUCUGAGAGGAUGACCAGCCACACUGGAACUGAGACACGGUCCAGACUCCUACGGGAGGCAGCAGUGGGGAAUAUUGCACAAUGGGCGCAAGCCUGAUGCAGCCAUGCCGCGUGUAUGAAGAAGGCCUUCGGGUUGUAAAGUACUUUCAGCGGGGAGGAAGGUGUUGUGGUUAAUAACCACAGCAAUUGACGUUACCCGCAGAAGAAGCACCGGCUAACUCCGUGCCAGCAGCCGCGGUAAUACGGAGGGUGCAAGCGUUAAUCGGAAUUACUGGGCGUAAAGCGCACGCAGGCGGUCUGUCAAGUCGGAUGUGAAAUCCCCGGGCUCAACCUGGGAACUGCAUUCGAAACUGGCAGGCUUGAGUCUUGUAGAGGGGGGUAGAAUUCCAGGUGUAGCGGUGAAAUGCGUAGAGAUCUGGAGGAAUACCGGUGGCGAAGGCGGCCCCCUGGACAAAGACUGACGCUCAGGUGCGAAAGCGUGGGGAGCAAACAGGAUUAGAUACCCUGGUAGUCCACGCCGUAAACGAUGUCUACUUGGAGGUUGUGCCCUUGAGGCGUGGCUUCCGGAGCUAACGCGUUAAGUAGACCGCCUGGGGAGUACGGCCGCAAGGUUAAAACUCAAAUGAAUUGACGGGGGCCCGCACAAGCGGUGGAGCAUGUGGUUUAAUUCGAUGCAACGCGAAGAACCUUACCUGGUCUUGACAUCCACAGAAGAAUCCAGAGAUGGAUUUGUGCCUUCGGGAACUGUGAGACAGGUGCUGCAUGGCUGUCGUCAGCUCGUGUUGUGAAAUGUUGGGUUAAGUCCCGCAACGAGCGCAACCCUUAUCCUUUGUUGCCAGCGGUCCGGCCGGGAACUCAAAGGAGACUGCCAGUGAUAAACUGGAGGAAGGUGGGGAUGACGUCAAGUCAUCAUGGCCCUUACGACCAGGGCUACACACGUGCUACAAUGGCGCAUACAAAGAGAAGCGACCUCGCGAGAGCAAGCGGACCUCAUAAAGUGCGUCGUAGUCCGGAUUGGAGUCUGCAACUCGACUCCAUGAAGUCGGAAUCGCUAGUAAUCGUGGAUCAGAAUGCCACGGUGAAUACGUUCCCGGGCCUUGUACACACCGCCCGUCACACCAUGGGAGUGGGUUGCAAAAGAAGUAGGUAGCUUAACCUUCGGGAGGGCGCUUACCACUUUGUGAUUCAUGACUGGGGUGAAGUCGUAACAAGGUAACCGUAGGGGAACCUGCGGUUGGA
rnacentral:rRNA from 1 species